GAUCUCGAAAGUAAAAGAUUUAAAUAGUUUGUUUAGUUUUUGUUUCAAUAAAAUUAAAUAGGACUUUUUGGGAGUGAAAUAUUAAUCGAUUUUACUAAUAUCUGGUAACUUUAGAAAUAAAUUUAGUUUAGAAUAUUAGGAGGUUCUUAGCUUUAAUAUAUUUUUGGACUUUAGGGGAUGAGCUCUAAAGGCAAAUUAUAAGAUUAAAAUUAAUAUAUUUCUUUUUAGGCUUAGAAUUAGCUAUGAGAUAGUGUUUUAAGAUAGGAGUGUUAAGAAUAUAAUUUUAUUUUCUUUUAUAAAGAUAAAGUUAUUUGGAAAAUUAAAUUUUUAAAGAAAAGAUGAUAAUAUUAGUAGAGAUUAAUUUAAAUUUUUCUUUGGAUAUUAUUUAAAUAAUUGUAAUAAAAGAAUUCGGCAAAUAUGAUUUCCGAAUGUUUAACAAAAACAUUUCCUCUUGGAAUAUGAGGUAAGGCCUGCUCACUGAGAAGUUGAAGAGCCGCAGUAUAUUGACUGUGCUAAGGUAGCAUAAUCAUUAGUCUUUUAAUUGGAGACUGGUAUGAAUGGCUAAACGAGAGAUCUACUUUUUUUAUUAUAUAAAUUGAAUUUAACUUUUUAGUGAAAAGGCUAAAAUUUUUCAGAAAGACGAGAAGACCCUAUAGAGUUUUAUAUGUUUAGAAUUUACAUUUAAUUAGAUUUAAAUGAAUGAAGGUUUGUAGCAUAAUUUGUUGGGGCGACAUUAAGAUAAGAAAAACUCUUUAUUUUUUUAACUUUUAUAAAAGAAUUGAGUGAUCCUCUAAAAGAGAUCAAAAGAAAAAAUUACCUUAGGGAUAACAGCGUAAUCUUUUUUGAGAGUUCUAAUCGACAAAAAGGUUUGCGACCU
rnacentral:rRNA from 1 species